rnacentral:rRNA from 1 species
UACGAAGGGGCUAGCGUUGCUCGGAAUCACUGGGCGUAAAGGGUGCGUAGGCGGGUCUUAAGUCAGGGGUGAAAUCCUGGAGCUCAACUCCAGAACUGCCUUUGAUACUGAGGAUCUUGAGUUCGGGAGAGGUGAGUGGAACUGCGAGUGUAGAGGUGAAAUUCGUAGAUAUUGCAAGAACACCAGUGGCGAAGGCGGCUCACUGGCCCGAUACUGACGCUGAGGCACGAAAGCGUGGGGAGCA